rnacentral:rRNA from 1 species
CCUACGGGUGGCAGCAGUGGGGAAUAUUGGUCAAUGGACGAAACUCUGACCCAGCAACGUCGCGUGAAUGAUGAAGGUCUUCGGAUUGUAAAGUUUUUUUCUAAGGGAAGAAGAAAGUGACGGUACCUUAGGAAUAAGCCUCGGCUAACUACGUGCCAGCAGCCGCGGUAAUACGUAGGAGGCGAGCGUUAUCCGGAAUGACUGGUCGUAAAGGUUGAGUGGGUGGUGUGGCAAGGUAGUAGGGUAACUCCAAGGCUAAACCUGGGAACUACAACUAAAACUGUUGGACUUGAGUACAGGAGAGGCAGGCGGAAUUCCUAGUGUAGCGGUGGAAUGCGUAGAUAUUAGGAGGAACACCAGUGGCGAAGGCGGGUUGCUAGACUGUAACUGACACUGAGGCACGAAAGCGUGGGGAGCAAACAGGAUUAGAUACCCGGGUAGUC